AGGCUAUGAUGAGAAAAGUCAUGAACCACUUUGAAGAGAUUUAUCUCUGUGCUGAUAAACAAACUUUACAACCCAUUGUAAAUCUGAGCCA
rfam:Triticum aestivum genome assembly, contig: Triticum_aestivum_CS42_TGACv1_scaffold_376052_5AL